AAACCAGGGUCAAAAGAGAGGAGUAAUGUAGAAAAAUUGAAUGUGCCAUUUGUAGAGGUUAAAAAAGCAAACCAAUGUAACUGCAAUUACUGAGGUCGUAAUGGAGAUUGUUAGUAUCAAGAUUUUAUUCGCAAGGCCUCAUAUUACUGUAUUGCAGCAAAGGUUGUCACAAUUGUGUUAUUCCCAGCACUGCACUUCAAUCUCGAGUCAGUGGUGGUCUCGGGACAACCGAGGUGCCAGUAAAGCGGCCCAUUCAACUACGGGCAGGAGGGCCAGCAGAUGGGAGGCGGCCCCCGAAGCGCGGCUCAGCGGGGUCAAGUCGCCCUCCCUGCCAUGCCAGUCAGCAAGCGUUGAAGGUCCAUGGUGGCUCGAUAUGCAAUGUCAACAACUCCAACAAGGGAGAUCGAUGCUCUUCUCUUCGGACGCAUGAUUUUCUGUGGCCUUCCUGACGCAACCUGGGAACCAAACCGAAGCCAGAUGCAGGAGAAGCAGCAACGUGACGUGCAAGCAAAUCCCUGCCAAUGGAACUCAAAAAGGAUGCAUAUUUAUCAAAUGAUCACCAAAAACCUUUC